UUUCACCAUGUUGGCCAAGAUGGUCUCUUGACCUUGUAAUCCACCUGCCUCAGCCUCCCAAAGUGGUAGGAUUACAGGUGGGAGCCAUCACGCCUAGCCUUAUCUAGGUUUUUUAAAGAAUUUUUAAAAAUAUUUCUGUCUUAAGAAGUAUUUUUAACUCGUUUGAUUUUAUGUUAUAUGUUAAACAUAAAUAUAUAGACAUUUGUAUUUUAUCCACUGCUUUUUAAGUUAUAUUUUAACAAACAGUUAAUAACAGGUUAAUAUUCUUCCUUUACACUGCUAAGACACUUAAAAAAAAUUUAGCCUGGGCAGCGUGGUGAAACCCUAUCUCUACAAUAAAAAUAUAAAAAUUAGCUGUAGAGGCUUCAUUUACAUCACUGCAGUCCAGCAGAAUAAGACCCUGUCUCAAAAAAAUUUUUUUUAAUUAAGUAGCUUCGACCACUGUGAUGUAUUCCUAAGAAGUAACUAUUGCAAUCUAGCAUGACAGUCUCCCAGAAACAAAAGUAAAACCCAAUAAAUUGAAAUUCUUAUGAAACCAUUAUACGUGCAUUUCAGAAAACAUCUGUCGAGAGAGCAAAAGGGCCUUUGCCUCUCUUGCUUACUGUUGUGUUUCUAGCACUUUACUAAGAGCUUAGCCUUAGCACGUCAUAGGUACUCAGUAAAUAUUUGUUGACUGAAUAAAUUAUUUAUUUUGUUAGUCCUAAGGGUUGGGGUCUAAACAACAGCAGAAUGCUGAUCCUGUCUUCAAGGAGCUAAAUAUUUUUUUUAAAAGUUUGUGUAGAUACUGUAUUUUUACUAUCUUCAGACUAGUUCAGACUAGGUUAACACCUUCACUAACCUUUCUUGUAGUUCCCUUUUCUAUGCCGUUCUCCUAUAAUACUUUACAUACUUGUAAUUAAAUCAUCAAUUGCAUAUUUAAUAUUGAUCUUUCACAUUAGACUGUAAGAUUUUUGAGCGUGUUUAUUUAUCUGUGCCUAAAACCUGGUAGGUGUUCCUAAGUAUUUGUUACUAAAAUAAAUGAUUCUUAGAAACUACAGCACAUCUUGUUUUCACAUUUAUUUUGUGCUUUAGGAAUUAUAAGCUUAUGCUGGGCCAGACAAGGUUUUUAAGGUUUGUAUAGUAUAGUUUACUGAACAUGAUGAAGGUUUAAAAAGGAUGUAAUAGUCAUAGCUGUAUGGCUCAGUAGUUCAGAAUAUUUUCAGGAGUAUUGAACAUUUAAAAGACAUGAAACUGCAUCUUUUACAUGAAAAUGUGUAACACUAGUUGUUGCCCCAGAAAUUUUAAUCUAGUUUACAGCAUUUAGUAUGUCUAUUUAUCAGAUGUUUAUUAAGCUUAUGCUCUGUUCAAGACAAUAUGAUAGAUAUGAAUCAAUAACUUGAUUCCUUUCCCUUUGAAGCUUAGAGGAAAGAUAGAAUGUAAAUGCAUGAAUAGUUAUGCAGAUAAUGUUGUAAGGUCCUAAGAGUGCCUAAGAACUCCAUCAAGAUUAGGGAUCAGAAUUUUGGUGUCUCUAGUGAUUUGGCUAAUAAUUUAAUCAGGAAAAAGUCUUAUAAGCAUUAGCAGUAAUCUAUGAUAUAUAGUAACAAAGUUUUGGCAUUGCUAUUUUAAAAGUUCAGUAAAUUAUUUCCCUUUUUUUAUUCUUUAUCGUAGUUGAGUAUCCCUAAUCUGAAAAUCUGAAAUCUGAAUUGUUCCAAAAUUUGAACCUUUUUGAGCAUUGAUAUGGUGUUCAAAGGAAAUGUUCAUUAGAGCAUUUCAGAUUUUGGAUUUUUGGAUUAGGAAUGCUAACCUGGGGUACUGCAAAUAUUCCAGAAUUCAAAAAAAAUCUGAAAUCUGAAACAUUUAUGGUCCCAAGCAUUUUGGACAGGGAAUACUCAACCUGUACUACUUUUAUGUUUCACUUCAACUGAAAGGUCACUGAAAGCACACACGAGUUUUAUAAAUGGAUGCUUUGUAGUCUACAGGAAUAAUUUUACUUGUAUCGAAAGUCCCAUAGUUUUGAAUGAUGUUUAGUUUUGCAAAUAAAUGAAAGUUUUAAUGUUAGCCUCAAAACAUUAUAAUUUUUUCCCAUUAUUGUCAGAUGUAAAUGCUAUUAUCUAAUGAAUUGCUUUUAUCAUUUACAUAUGUACUAAAUAUAUUUUAGUCCUCUUUUCUCGGCUUCCGUCAGUAAGCUUUAUCGUUAGCGUUAUUUGUACCUUGUUAAAUAUUAGCAUGAACCAGUAAAUAUGAAAUAUCUUAAAAUAACUUAAAAAUCUUAGAUAACAUAUAAAUAUUAUUACAUAGGUCUGUUUUGUGGAUUUUAAUUUUCAUCAACCUUUAACAUGAAAACUUGUAUGUUUCACACUUUAUUUAAAAAUUAUUUACUGUCUUUCUUUUUUAUGCUGACAGUCUAGUAUAGAGAUGGAUUAACAGUAGGAAGAGUUUAAUAUUACAAGAACAAAGGAAGCAAAACAGCAAUUUGGAAAUUUUAGGUUGAAUAUUCCCUAAUCUGAGUGUGUGAAACACAAAAUUCUCCAAAAUCAGAAACUUUUUGAGCACGAACAUGAUACUCAAAGGAAGUAUACUCAUUAUAACAUUUUGCGUUUUGGAUUUCAGAUUAGGGAUGCUCAGACAGUAAGUAUAAUGCAAAUAUUCCAAAAUUUUUUUAAAAAGGACUGAAAUCUAAAACACUUCUGGUCCCCAAGCAUUUCAGAUAAGGGAUACUAAACUUGUAUUAUUUACCUGAUUAUUACUUAUUUCUGUUCUAUAGUAUAGUUGCCAAGUCGUUGCUAUGUUUAAAAUACGUAUUUGCCAGGUAAGUAUCUUAAAAUAACAUACUUUUAAAUGACUUAAUAGAUGAAGAACAGUUUGUCAGAAUGACUCACUUGAGGUGUGGGAUAACUAUGGGUUUGAAAUUUCUUAGCUGUGCUAGUCAUCUGCUAGUAGAUAUUAACUUAAGUUCAAUGUACUUUAUCAACAGUACCACCUAAAAAAUUUGAAGUCACACCUUUAAAAUCUGGUGAACCUCAUCUUUGCCAAUACCAGAGCUGAAAUUAAUUUUUAUCAUUUGGUUAAACAUUGAUGAAAAGGAAAAAUGAGUAAUAACGAAGAUAUAAUUUUAUGGCUACAUCCCUGAAUAUAAUGAUACAUCAGUAAUUUAGGAUUUAGGGAUUGGAAGAACACAGCCAACUAAGGAGUUCAAGUCUUAACUAUUUCAUUUUAAGCUUCUGAAUAGUCCUGCCUAUUACCUAUCAGCAGCUUGGAAUGAAAUCUGAACACGUCUGCAACUUUUGCAUGCAUUCACCAUGGUCCUUGUUUUCUUUUUUUAUUGCUGCUCAUGAAGAUUGCUUUCUUAACAUGAUCAAUUUUUGAUUUGUCUGAAUUUAAAAUUACUUGGCUUUAAGGAAUGGUUGAGAUCUAAUGCUGUAUUGAGUCACUGUGUUAUUUGCAUUUAAAUUUCAUAUAUUAAAAUAUUGGUGAAAUAGUACCUGAGAUUUGAUUUAAAGCCCUACAAGCUCCCACCAAAAAUAAACAGACAAAUAAAUUGUUGUGAUAAGGGCUUAUUCAUUAUUGAAAAAAUUCUGCUUCGGUAAAAUUACCUCAAAUUUAUAUCAAACCACCUGAUUUUGUAUGACUGAUUUAAAAAUAGAAUUAGCAGGGCAAUGGAAUGUCUGUUAUGAAAGUAAAUUAUUUGUGCAGGGUAUAGCUGUCUAGAGCAUGAUCUUUGUAUGUAAUAAUUGAAUUAGAUAUAUAAAUAAUAUGACAACUAAAACAAUUUUAUUUUCUUUGUAUGCAAGUAUUCAAGUAAAAAAGUUCCUAUAGCAAAUAGGUAUAAUUCAUACCAUCUAUUGUUUUUGUUACUGAUGUAAGGGUUUUAUUGGCCCAAAUAUUUAAAAAAAAAAAAAAAAAAAACCACACCCUUUUUAGGAGAGAUAUUUGCUAAUA